UCUAUUCACGGGGUCACUCCGUUCAUGGACUCGACAGAGGAGGAGUUUGAGAGGAUGUAUAGUGGUGUUUUGGGUGGUGGUGUGCCUGCUGUGGAUGAGGGUUCAGUGUAGUUUGUGGAUGCUAGUGGUUUGCCUGGUAGCAUUGAAUGGAGAGAGAAAGGAGUUGUCACUGAUGUCAAGAUUCAGGGUGCUUGUGGAUCAUGCUGGGCUUUUAGCACCACUGGAUCUGUUGAAGGAGCAAAUUUUAUUGCAACAAGGAAGCUUCUCAACCUUAGUGAACAACAGCUUGUUGAUUGUGACAGUGUGGUUAGUUUCUGAUUCCCCUUUUGAUCUCUUGUUCUGAUCAUUAGACAGGCAUCACAACACCAAUAACUUUAGACACGACAUCACCUCAAAUUGGAGAAGUUUUGUCAUCAAAAUCAAGACCGGAAAACUCAAAUAUAAUAUCCACUGAUUUCCUUGAGAUUUUGGUGCAACGUGACAAUAAGACAGAAAAGACUUCCUGUGAUGAGGUUGCGGUGGAGGAUUCAUGACCAAUGCCUACAGGUGUUUGAUCGAGGCAGGGGGGUUACAAGAGGAGAGAACAUACCCUUAAACAGAGAAACGUGGGGAAUGCAAGUUUGAUCCUGAGAAAAUAGCUGUAAGUUGCGGCAAAUUUAGUUCACCAUGGACUUCUUGCAACUGCAUUGACUGCAAUAUUAAUGCAAACUUGUAUUAGAGGGGUCUCGUGCCCAGUUAUUCGCGGCAAGAAAUGGCUCAACCGUGGUGUUCUACUUGUUGGGAAUGGUGCAAGAGGUUACUCCAUUCUUAAUUAGGUCUGGCUACAAGCCGGACUGGAUCAUCAGGAAUUCAUGGGGUGAGCAAUGGGGAGAGAAGUGACAUUACCUUCUUUGCAGGGGACAUGGCGUGUGUGGCAUGAACAAGAUGGUCUCUGCAGUGGUAACCAAAGUUGCCUAAAUAUAACUAUGCAAGCAAAACCAAAGGAAAGAAGAAGAAAAAAUGGUUUGUUUGAUUUAGUUUAAGUCUAGCUAACUAGCUAGCUUUUGUUAUUUUGCUACUUAACAAAAGAUCCGGUUUGUUGCAGUUUUGUGGCUUUAGGCUGUUAGCCACGAAGGCAUCAUAUAUGAGCCAAUGUCUUAAAGUCACCUAGUAAUUUAGAGUGACGGAGUUUCUCAAUUUUAAAUGAUUGUAGACUCUUUUUUCCAUGCUUUGCUUUGUCUAGAACCACCUUCUUGGUGAACCGGCGUCGGAUUUUCUUUCUUCACUUGAAAAAUCUGAUCCUGAGAAACUUGAAGUUGUUUUCUGUGUGUUUGACUUCAAGUUAGAAAAUAUUGUCAUCUUGAAGUCUUUCCUCUUUAUAAAAAACGUCUUGAUCACCAUCAUUUUCAUGGAAACUAUUCAUUUUGCGACCAAACAAAUUGAACACGACCUCCAGCCUUGCCGCCACUUUUCAUACUGAAAACUCCUGAAUUGUUUUACAUGUUUACUUGCGACUUUGAAUGAAUUCGAACUACAUCCUUGCAGGCCAAGUUUAUCCAUCAAAUAUGCUCCCUGAAUAAUUAUAUUUUAU